UGGAUUUUCAAUUAUUAAACCAUCCCUGUAUCCCUGGAAUGAAGCCUACUUGAUCAUGACAGAUAGCAGGAGAUUUCAACACCCCACUCUCAUCAAUGGACAGAUCAUGGAAACAGAAAUUAAACAGAGAUGUACAGAAACUAACAGAAGUUAUGAACCAAAUGGAUUUAACAGAUAUUUAUAGACCAUUCCAUUCUAAAACAAAAGGAUAUACCUUCUUCCCAGCACCUCAUGGAACCUUCUCCAAAAUUGACCAUAUAAUUGGUUAUAAAACAAGCCUCAACAGAUACAGGAAGAUAGAAAUAAUUCCAUACAUCCUAUCAUAUCACCAGGCACUAAGACUGGUCUUCAAUAACAAUAAUGACAGAAAACCCACAUGUACAUGGAAGCUGAACAAUGCUCUUCUCAAUGACAACCUGGUCAAGGAAGAAAUAAAGAAAGUAAUU
rnacentral:lncRNA from 1 species